rnacentral:lncRNA from 1 species
CCUUUUGAUCUAUUUUUUAUUUGUUCUGAUAUUUUUUUGUUGUUUGAUUUUUUCAUUGUUCACAACUACUAUAUGUAGAAGACCAAAGAUUGCAAUGCUUAACCACCAACUAUUGCAAUGGUUAAUAGAAUUACAAUGAUUUGUAACUAAAUGUUGCAAUGGUUGAAGAUCAAAACUUACAAUGGUUAAUCAUGUAAGGUCGUAACAGUUCAAUUAAACAGUUGUAAAUGUUCAUCCAAACAAUUGCAAUGAUUCAUUU